GGCCUCUCCCAGAGACAUCAUCAAGUAUUUAAUUAUUUCUUCACAGUUCCUAGUCAUGUUUUAACCCUGUUUUUGCAAUUUUGUGCUUUCAUAUUUAUUUAUCGUACACAUCCCAACAUAAACAUCUGGAAGAUAUGAGAAUGGUUUGAGCAAUUUUUAUCCAUUUGACAUAGCUUUAUGUGCUGGUGACAUUGCUGUUACUUAUUGAAAUCAUUAUAACCACUAUUAAUCUUUUCAGUUGUUAAAGUGUGUGCUGAAAUUGAUUUAUGGAUAAAGUUUCCUAAUCCAUCAAUGCUUCAUCAUAUACUUUGUAGCAGUUUUGGUGGUUGCACAUGUUUUAAUUUCACUUGCAUUGCAUGAUGCAUCUCAAUUGAUCUCUCUGUUCCUGCAACUGUACUUUCCUUUGAUGAAGAUUUUUUUGUGGAGCUUAUAUAGAAUGUGCAAGUUUUAGUUAGACAUACAUGUGUAUGUAUUUGUUUUGUUUUUGCAGCAUCUCUUCAUUUGACAGCACAAACCAUACAUGCAAACAGAGGUGAUUGGCAAGAGGAAGUUUACCAAAAGGUGUUUUUAAUGACUUAGUGUGUUCAAGGAAGUUUCUUUGUCAAAUCGUCAUAGGACCAAAUUUAAGGGAGGUCUGUUUUGGAUUUUGGUGCACAGGAAGUAUUGGUUUGGAAAU
rnacentral:misc_RNA from 1 species